GAAUAGCGCUUGCUACAGUAGAUGUACGGUUGGUUCUGUGAAUUAAGGUUAUCUGUGAUAAAAUAUUAGUUUAUUCGACUUUAUUCUGUGAUAAAAACAUUCUACCCUAGAUUUUAUUUAUGUUUUAAUCGAAAAACUUGUAACUGGAUCAGUGUCUACUGUCUAGGAGAGAUAUUACACAAAUUGAAUUCACAUUGUACUCCAAAGUUAAAGAGUUAUCUGCCUCAACAGCCGAACCAAGUGCCAAAUACAAUUAACUCAAAAAUAUCUGUCGUCACUAGGAGAAUAGUUACAACAAUUUCAAAAAUGUGCCACUGUAAAAUUAUCUCAACAUUUUUCAUCGCCAUCGUCUGUUGUGGUGUGAGUACAGUGAAGACAGCCGAUCUCCACAUUUUAGAUCAUGAUGUUUCAAUCCUUGUCAACGAGACACAGAAUGUUGAACUGGUUUUAGAGGGGAAGCUCCAAAAACCAGUUGAGGUGAAACUGGAAACUCAGCAUAAGGAUGUGGUCAGAGCCAAUCCUAGUAUAAUAGGGCUAAAUCCUCCCGGGCCCUGGUUAUUCGAAGUAACCGGACUUAAACCUGGGUUGAGCUUGGUUUACAUUAACUCUAACUCAACUCCCAGUUCUGAACUGAACACAAUUCAAGCCUUCGUUAGAGUGACUGUACAGCACUCUUAUGUUUUGGAAUACAUUAGUUUGACAGUGGGGUGGAUUUAUUUUGCUGCGUGGUCUGUCUCAUUCUAUCCUCAAAUUUAUCACAAUUGGGAGCGAAAAAGUGUUGUCGGUCUAAACUUUGAUUUUAUGGCUUUGAAUUUGCUUGGAUUCACAUUAUACGCUGUAUUCAACUUUGGGCUGUACUUUGUACCAGAAAUAGAGAAAGAGUAUUUCGAAAGACAUCCCACGGGUACCAACCCUGUACAAAUGAAUGAUAUAGUAUUUGCAGUGCAUGCUACUUUUGCAACGCUAUUCACCAUUAUUCAGUGUUUCUGCUAUGAGUCUGGUGCUCAGCGAGUUUCCACCACAGCGAGAUCUAUUCUCUUCUUAUUCUUUUUGAUAAUCACAACAACUCUGGGUCUAACGCUUUUCGAAAAGCUUGCCUGGCUGGACUUUAUCUACUACUGUUCCUACAUCAAGUUGACCAUUACACUUAUCAAGUACAUUCCACAGGCUUACAUGAACUAUCAAAGGAAGAGUACUGUCGGCUGGAGUAUAGGCAAUGUGAUACUAGACUUUACUGGUGGCAUACUAAGUAUGGCUCAGAUGUUGGUCAAUGCUUUCAACUAUGAUGAUCUACAAUCAAUAAUAGGCGAUCCUGUCAAAUUUGGAUUGGGUCUUUUCUCAGUAGUAUUCGACGUCUUCUUCAUAGUUCAACACUACUGCUUAUACAGAUUUGGUUCUUCGUACGACCUUUCUUACCGAACAUAGAAAAGGGGACAUUUGCAACACGCACUACCUUUCAAUGCAACUAUGGCAAGAAAUAGGCCUAGUAAUGAAACUUGGUAUAAGACUCUUUAGUGGGGAAAACACACUGAAAUAUACCUAAGGUUUCAUUGUAAGAUUCAGGUUAAACCUGCAAAAUUCUCUGCAUGAGAAUCAUAAUAAUUCAUAUUAUUAAAAUUAGGGAGAAGACACUGAAAUAUACCUCAGGUAUCAUAGUGAGAUUUAGCUCAAACUGUCAAAAUUCUCUGCAUGAGAAGCAUUUAUAUAUUAAUGGUAAUAGGGGGAAGACACUAAAAUAUACCUAAAGUUUCAUUGUAACAUUCAGCUCAAGCUGUCAGAAUUCUAUGCAUGAGAAGCGUUUAUAUAUUAAUUAUAAUAGGGAGAAGACACUGAAAUAUACCUAAAGUUUCAUUGUAACAUUCAGUUCAUACUGUCAGGACUCUUUGAAUGAUAAGCAUUCAUAUUAUUGAAAAGGAAUCCUGAAAGUGAAAAGCUUAUAAACUUUCAUUGACAUUAAUUAUGGAAGUCUACUGUUCUUAGACAUAUUGUCUUUUUAGAUUAAAUCUUUAUUCUUUAUUUAUUCUGUGCUCCAUUGUCAAAAGAAUAAAUAGAGAAUAAAUAUUUAAUUAGAAAACAUACCGUAGUUGAAACCUUAACGUAUUUUAAUCCCAACUUCAAUGAAGUGUAUAGCAGGGUUUCAAGUACCUAUCAAGGUUUCAGCUUGUAGGAUCCAAGUUCACACUAAAAACUGACACAAUAUUUUUAAUUUCAUCAACUAGUUUCAUUUUUUUGUUUUAUUUUAAAAACACGAAAUGUUUUGUCAUUCAUAGACAAAACUUUGCCAUUUUCAAGUGUCAUAUACAGGGUGAUUCUUAAUUAUGGUAAAAUAAUUUGAUACGUGAUAGUAGUGAUAAAAAUAAGAAAAAAAGUUCUUAUAAACAUAUAUCCAUAAACGCUUCAUU
rnacentral:misc_RNA from 1 species